UGGGGAAUAUUGCACAAUGGAGGGAACUCUGAUGCAGCGACGCCGCGUGAACGAAGAAGGCUUUCGAGUCGUAAAGUUCUUUUAUAUGGGAAGAUAAUGACGGUACCAUAAGAAAAAGCCCCGGCUAACUACGUGCCAGCAGCCGCGGUAAUACGUAGGGGGCUAGCGUUGUCCGGAAUCACUGGGCGUAAAGGGUUCGCAGGCGGAAAUGCAAGUCAGAUGUAAAAGGCAGUAGCUUAACUACUGUAAGCAUUUGAAACUGCAUAUCUCGAGAAGAGUAGAGGUAAGUGGAAUUUUUAGUGUAGCGGUGAAAUGCGUAGAUAUUAAAAAGAAUACCGGUGGCGAAGGCGACUUACUGGGCUCAUUCUGACGCUGAGGAACGAAAGCGUGGGUAGCAAACAGG
rnacentral:rRNA from 1 species